rnacentral:tRNA from 1 species
GGACAGAGAGGGAUUC